AAAAAUAUGUCAAUUUCCCAAGUUUUUGGGUUUUUAGUUAAUUUGCGCAAAUUUUCCCAUUCUUCCUCUUCCUAUUCACCUUUUCAUCGUGAAUCUGCAAGCCGCCGAUGGAGAGAGGAUGCUCGCCGGUGGAAAAGCUGUAGGCGAACUCCACCAUGGAAUUCCAGUGAUGCUCAAGGACACUAUUGCGACUAAGGGUCGGCAAUACCACCGCCGAAUCCUUCGCGUUGCUGGGUUCGGUGGUGGCUCGAGAUGCGACGAUGGUCAGUCGCCCGAGGAACGCCGGCGCGGUGAUUUUGGGGAAAACUUCGCUUAGGGAGUGGUAUCGGUCUCGUUCUUGGAAGCUUCCCCAUGGAUGGUGUGCUCAUGGUGGUCGACCGCGGGGGAAGAAGGGAGAGGAAGCGGUUUGAGGAUUGGGUAAAGGAAGAAGAUAAUGGUGGAAAUGUUGAUGAGAAGCAUGUUGAAGUGAAUGAAUACAAGUCCAAGGGAGACGUCGGGGAUGGGAAAGUUCAGUUUGGAGGCACCAUUGAUGAAAAAUAAGGUCACUGGGGAAUGUAAGUUCCAUUUUGCAUAUGCUGCAUUUUAUUGUAAUGAAUGUGAUUAUGGAAUUGCCAUUUCCAUCUUCAAUUUGAUGCAACUUUUUCCCUUGUAUUCUGUCAAUAUUAUGCUGAUUGUUUGACAUUGAUAUAGUCAAAUAUACAUUGGUUUGACCUGCAACCCCAAGAAGUUAAUGAGAAGGCAGAGCAUUUUAUCUGAAAGAGUAAAGGUGGCUUUUGUUGUUAGUGAUUCUAUUGAUAUAUACUUUCCUUCUAAAGAAUUCAAUCUGCAUUACCUUUGUCUAUCUAACUGUUUAUCGUUAGGCUUGUGUCUGUUGGAAACUUAGAAGCUGUUAUUAGUUAUUGCUUCUAGAACACUUCGUCGCUUUGAUUUGUCCCUCAUAAAAAAGAAGUAUACUGCUUCUUGAACUUGCGGUUAAGGUCGUGGAGGGAAAUGUACAAAGAGAUAGUAAAAAGUCCUAUGGUUUAAGCCGAUAGAUUUAUCCUUUCAUAUUCUGUCUGGUACCACUGCCACCUGCAGAUAAAGAGAUGUAUUCUGCUUCGGUGGUAGAAACAGCAACAACAGGUUGUUUAUUUGAAGUCCAUGAAAAAACAUCCGAACCAAUGCUAAAAACAUAAUUAGAUGUGCUUCUAUGAUCAUCAACAUUACCACCCCAAUUACUAUCACAAAAACCAACUAACACUGAUUCUGAAACUUUCUUGUAAUAAAUUCCAAAAUUAAUAGUGCCAAGAAUAUAACGAAGCACUCGCUUACCUGCUUCCCAAUGAUUUCUUUUUGGGCUUGACAUGAAUCUGCUUAACAUAUUUACAGCAAAUAGAAUCUCAGGUCUUGUUGCAGUCAAGUACAUCAAGCUUCCAACUAAGCUUCGGUAUAAGCUUGGAUCAACAUCUUCUCCAAUAUCAUUCUUGCUCAAUUUCAAAUUUGCAUCCAUGGGCGUGUUACAAGGAAAAAUGUUUUCCAUUUUGAAUUUUUUUCAGCAAAUCACGAGCAUACUUUUGUUGUGAGAUGACAAUCUCUCCAUCUUUUUGAUUGACUUUAAUUCCCAAAAAUAAUGGAUGAGACCCAUAUCACUCAUCUCAAAUUCUCUUUUCAUGAAAUUCUUAAAAUCAUCACUCAAUAGUUUAUCAUUUCUAGUAAAAAGCAAAUCAUCGACAUAUAAUGAAACAAUAAGAAGUUUGCCACACUUAUCUUCUUUGACAUAUCAUCGACAUAUAAUGAAACAAUAAGAAGUUUGCCAUACUUAUCUUCUUUGACAUAGAGUGCAUGCUCACAUGGACACCUUUGAAAACCUGUCUUUAUAAAAAAGCUGUCAAUGUGACUAUACCAAGCUCACGAAGCUUGCUUCAAUCCAUACAAGGCCUUUUUCAACUUGUACAUUUUGUCUUCUCCUUUUUUCACAUAACCCAAAGGUUGUUCAACGAAUAUCUCCUCCUUCAAGUGUCCAUUCAAGAAAGCGGAUUUUACAUCCAUUUGAUAAACUCUCCACUCAUUUUGAGCAGCCAAAGACAAAAUCAAUUGAACUGUCUCAAUUCUUGUCACAGGAGCAAAGAUCUCUUCAUAAUUCACACCAUAUUCCUGCUUGUAGCCUUUUACAACAAGUCUUGCCUUGUAUUUUUCAACUUUGUCAUUUGACUUCAGUUUUGUUUUGUACACCCAUUUUAUACCAAGAACUUGUUUGUUUACUGGAAGAUCCAUCAACUUCCAUGUUUCAUUUCUUUUUAUUGCAUCAAUUUCUUGAUCCAUUGCAAUCUUCCAUUUUUCAUCUUGGAUCGCCUCAUCAAAAUUUAUAGGAUCAACACUGGAAAAUAAUGCAAAAUCAGCCACAUCAUCAUCAAUUCUGCUAGUAGCAUUAUAAAUUUCUUGAAUAUUUCUCAUUCUCCUUGGUAACAUAUCAUCAUCACUUGUGGAAGAUGGCGAUGCAGAUAAAGAUGACGCCACUGCCUGACUCUACUUGCUCUAAGUCUUGAGCAUCUCCAUUCCUUUCCAUGCUAACAUGAUAUGGACUUUCUGCUUCUCCAACGACAUCCCAGUUCUAGGAUUCAUCUUCAUUGAAAAUCACAUCCCGACUGAUAAUAAUCUUUUUCGACAAAGGAUUAUACAAUCGAUAAGCUUUAGAAUUUUCACUAUAGCCUACCAUGAUACAUUUUUCUGAUUUAUCAUCUAAUUUGCCUCUCAGCUUAUCUGGUAUAUGAGAGUUUAUUUGCCCCUUAGCUUAUGGGAGUAUAUUAAUUUUGGAAUUUAUUACAAGAAAGUUCCAGAAUCAGUGUUAGUUGGAUUUUGUGAUAAUGAUUGGGGUGGUAAUGUUGAUGAUCAUAAAAACACAUCUGGUUAUGUUUUUAGCAUUGGUUCGGGUGUUUUUUCAUGGACUUCAAAGAAACAACCUAUUGUUGCUCUUUCUACCACUGAAGCAGAAUACAUCUCUUUAUCUGGAGCUGGAUGUCAAGCUUUAUGGCUUAGAUGGAUGUUGAAAGAAUUGAGGUGUACGCAAAGAAGUUAGAAUACUUUAUAUUGUGAUAAUGGUUCUGCCAUUGCAUUAUAAAAAAAUCCAGUCUUCCAUGGAAGAAGCAUGCAUAUUAGAAUCAAGUAUCAUUUUAUCAGAGACUUGGUUAAAGAUGGAGAAGUGAUGGUGAAACAUUGCAAGACUCAAGAUCAGGUGGCGGAUAUUUUUACGAAGGCACUGAAGUUUGACUUAUUUGUUAAGUUCAGAGAAAAGCUUGGAGUUGCUCAAGUCUAGAUUAAGGGAGGAUGAUAGAAUUAAUCUAGACUUAUAUUCAAGGUGCAUGAAUUACAUUUAAUUAGAUACAUGAAUAGUUGAAUACAUGAAUUACAAGAUAUAUUGAUGAAUGUUCAUGUAUUGGUGAAAAGUCACAUGUAUUUGCAUUUAUCAUUGAUGUCUUUUGAUGUCUUUUAUUUUCUUACUAGUAUAAAUAUGUGUAGGAUUUGUCAUUUGUAAGCAAGGCAGGAAAAUAAAGUAAUAUUCAAAUUCUAGUUUCUCCAAUCUUGUGUGAGUAAGAGAACAAUCUUUUCUCUUAUCUAUUGAGUUGUAUUGUGAGGGCCUACUUCGUUGAUUUGUCAUUUGUAAGCAAGCCAAGAAAAUAAAGUAAUAUUCAAGUUCUAGUUAAAUGUAAUUCAUGUAUCUUGAAUAUGAGUCUAGAUUAAUUCUAUCACAAAAUAAGAAGCACGGACACUUUAAUUUGGCUAGCGUGUUCGUGUUGGACACUUAAACACUCUGACACUUGUUAGUGCAAUAGAUAUGUUGGACACUAGUUGUACAAAGCCAAACUAGAACCAACAUUUAGUAGACAUGCAUCAAACUCUUACAAAGUCAACACAUAUAUCACAAAAAUAAUAAAAUUUGAGAGCGAACUACAUCGAAUUAAUUUUUUAAGCAUAGAAAUAAACAAACUCAUUAACUUUAAAUUUCCUUGUUUAAAAAUGAUAUAUAUAUGUUAAAAAAUAUAUAUUUUAAUAAAUGUGUCCUUGGUGUGUCCAUGUCCUAAAUUUUAGAAAAAUGAUGUGUCACCGUGUCAGUGUCGUGUCGUAUUCGUAUCUCGUAUUUGUAUCCAUGCUUCUUAGGCUACAAAGUUUUUGGGUAACUCAUUUUGCAUUUGAGUUGGAUUUUCAUUUAUUUUUCAAGAAAGACAAUUGCAAAACAUGCAAAAAAAUGUUGGAUGAGAGUCUGAAAGACGUGGAAUCAGAAGGCAAUUGUAAAAAUGUUGUUGGGUUUUGGCUAAAUAUUAAAAGUGUAAUUGUCCAAUAUCGAAAAUGUUCAAGAAAGUGAUGGAGCUUCAAGCAUUAUAAAAGGAGCUUAUGCAUUUGGUUUGAAAUCGUUUCAGUUAGAAACAUUUUAAAUUUAGGUGUGCUAACUUACUUAAUUCUCUUUUUGUAUUCUCUACUUUGAGAGUGAGAUUAGAGAGUGAGUGGUACAAAAGCUUUGAGAGAAUGCUCUUGUAAUUCGGUCGGGAGAAAGAAUAAUUCUGUGUGAUUGUAACAAUUUUUUACAUAUUGGAUUUCUUUCUGGUGGGCAGUGGUUUUCCCGACAAAUGUUUAGGCACUUUAGGGAGUUGUCCAAAUGUGAGCUCCCCACUAUCAAGAAUCUGUCAUUUUGCAAAUCGCUUCCAUCCCUAAUGGUGGCUACAAAUCAGUACUGUGAGUUUCCAACAAUGUGAAAUAACUAGAGCUCUGUUACGACGAACUUGGAUUUUAUUUGAAUACAUGGGAUACAAUAAUUGUGUUGAAUAAGUGUCGAGUGGGCCAUUUUGAGAAAUGGGAUUCAGAAACACAUAUCUCAAAAGUUCAAAAUUUUCGAAAAUGUGAUUUUGAUGAUUUAUAAACACAUACUUCAGUUUUAUUUGUCUUUUUAUGAGAACCACCCCCGUUUCUUUUUUUGUUCAUAUCUCCAACUUUUUUGUUCUUGAUUGUAGUUUCUGGAGGGACGUUGGUCCCAUUUGUUAUAGAACUGUGCUACAUUAUUUGUGCAGAUGUGUAUUCUUAGUAGAGGUAAUGCUGAAAUUUUACUUGAUAUAUGGUUGAUGUAUAAA